rnacentral:rRNA from 1 species
UACAGAGGGUGCGAGCGUUGUCCGGAAUCACUGGGCGGAAAGGGCGCGUAGGCGGCCUGAUAAGUCGGGGGUGAAAUCCUGUGGCUUAACCACAGGGCUGCCUCCGAGACUGUCGGGCUCGAGCACAGUAGAGGCAGGUGGAAUUCCCGGUGUAGCGGUGGAAUGCGUAGAGAUCGGGAAGAACAUCGGUGGCGAAGGCGGCCUGCUGGGCUGUUGCUGACGCUGAGGCGCGACAGCACGGGGAGCGAACGGG